AUAUACUUCAUUUAACCCUUUCAGUGCGGGAACCGAAUUUUAAAGGCCUUUGCAAACAGUUUGGAUCCAGAUGAGACGCCACAGAACGUGGCGUCUCAUCAGGAUCCAAACUGUUUGCUAUUCUGAUAGUAUUCUUUGAAAAAAAUAGAUGAAAAUGCUAAUUUAAGAAAUUCUGCAGACGACAUUUUAGCAGACGACAAAUUUCCCAGCAUGCAAAGGGUUAAAGUUAUAGGAAAGCAUUAUUAUAAUAAAACAUAAAUUUAACUUAAUAAUUUCAACUGUGUGUCAGAACUGUGUAGUAUAUGGACUAUUGUUAUUAUUACUGUUAUACCAAAUACUUAGUGAAAAUAAACACAAAACUAAUCAACACUUCGUGAGUUGCUUUCUGGUGUCUUCCUAAUAACAUGGAACUGCGUCUCAAACACUAAACACUCCGUAGCGGCAUAAUAUAUCCACUCCGUAGCGGCAUAAAACAUCCACUGAAGACAUCCACCUAAUCAGCUAUGGGAGCGUUGAAUGUAAUCCCAAAAUGACGCUGGAAGCCAAAUGGGGCGAUAUAUUGAAAGAGUCAAUGAGGAGCUAAGAAUUGUGCCAAAAUGAAGACCCCGAGGUUAUUAAAGACAGAAAGAGUCACAAACUUACUUUGAAGCACUCAAUUGAUCCCCGCAGAUACUACUUGCUAUCAAUCCUGAAAAUUUAGUGUGACUCGGGUACAUUUGAAGGGAAUCCUGGGCUCAUAAUGAAAAGAAUUGUUUUGAACCAUAGCAUAAUUAGUUCUUUAAAAUGUAAACUACGACUACAUCAGCAUCGACAACAAUCUGCAAGACCUUUGAGAUAUUGAACCAAGAGGAGAGGAAGCUGCCGCAUCAUCAGGUGAAGAAGACAUCCGCUGACAACAUCCACCUAAUCAGCCAUGGGAGCAUGGAAUGUAAUUCAGACAUGUCUGGAAGAGAGCCAAGACUUGCAGCGUGUACAAUGCCAACUUGAUGGAAUAGAAAAUUUUAUAUUUCGACAACAACUCACGAAUGCAACAUACCGGUAGACUGACAUAAUGUUGUUCUUAAAAAAGACAAAACAAGUGAAUAAAUGAAUAAAUCAAUACAUGUAGUGCUGUAAAUUCUCAGCAGUGUGUAUAUUUUUUUUAUAAUUAUAUUAUUACUAAUAGACUGUUGUAUCAUCAGUGAUCCAUCUUUUUAUUAUGUAUUAUGUAAUAUUCUGUUCUAUAUACAUUUUUCCGCCAAACGACAUUACGUUAUUGUAUGACGGUGAUGUCACUUCCUUUGAAUUUGUUUAUAUUUAUGUACUACUGAUGAAGGCUAUGGCAAAACAUGUUUAGUACCUAAGACAUUUUAAUAAACAAUUGACAUGUUUGUACGAUUUAUUUAAUUUUAAUAUAAGCACUUUGUAUAUAGCGAUUAUGAUUUUUUUGUUUUUUAGUGCUGUUUCUUACAUGUAGCCUUCUAUCUGCUAUGUGAAAACAUGCUGAUAUAAUUAAUUAUAUGAUAUUGGUUUGAUUGUAUAUGUAACUGUUCUUAAAUAUUGAUUUAUACAA